UCCUUGCCUAUACAUGGGCCUUCCGCAUGCGACAUGGGGGUCGGUGAAGAUGACAAAUCAGGGUUCGCGCUUCCAGGUGUCAUGAUCAAGAAUAUUUCUCUUAUUCUCGAUCAUCGAGGUGAGAUUGGUGGUUGCCCGACCUUGAGUUCUGUUACAACAGUCACUACGAUGCUCAACUCCUGCGGUCUAGCAAGCUAUGGCGUUUCAAUCGUUAUUCCUAGUUCGGAUCAAAGUCCGUGGAAUCCACCGAAGGGAUACAUCUGUCUUUAUGAAUCCUAAUAGACGGAUUGUCGCCUCUUGUUUCCCCUUCCUUUAUUGCUGCUUGCGUAUGUUCAUCGUAGCGAAAUGGCGAUCUCCCAGCUUACCCCAGCUUGUAUUUGUAACUUUGUGGGGGCAUUAACAAUUGCCAUCGAGGUCGGUAUUUAGAUUGGGUCCAUUUUUUUUGAAGAAAUGACGACGCUCAAGUCGGCCAAGAAGAAGGGGACCUCGGUUGUGAACAUGCGUCCGACUCAAAACCUUUUGCCUAGCGUUAAGGUCAGCAACUUUAAGCAUUAGGAUCAGCGGUAUUUCAACAUCCAAGCUGACCAGAAUUCUUCUGAAACCCCAUUCAUUGCAAGGCGGAGAGUGUGGAACAGUUCUCCUGAUGGAUUUUGCCUGGUUCGAGACGCACUUUAUAGAGGCUCUAAUCGCGAGUGGCAACAUUUUACUCCAAAAAUAAUUGAGAGAGCCAUGGGUAAAGCCAAAACAAGUUUCCCAGCUUUGCAAACACACUCGACGAAUCGUCCAAAGCAGUUGGUACGUCUAUUGCUGACUCAAAUAGGCUGCAGACCCAAAUUCCAACCUCUAAGGUCGAGGCUGUCGUCCUGGAGGACCAACCUGCAACUGAACCUAAAGGGGCUAGGAAUGAGACGUCUGAUGUUGAUAUCGAUCAGGUUGACAUGACAUUUGUCAAGCAGGUCGAGGUCUUGCCCCUGCCGAGCAAUUUUUUUCCUGAAGCUAAGACGAAGUUCACUGCUUCGAGAAGAUGACCGCUUAAGCAUCUAAGACAAAGGGAAAUUAGGUUGUGUCCGGCAAAAAAGGCAGCAACUUUAAGCAAAGGGAAAAGCGGUUCUUCUACGUCCGAGCUGAUUCUAAAUCUUCCGAGAGCGCAUUCGCUGGAAGGCAGAGAGUGUGGAAUAGAUCUCCGGGUCGAGCCAUAUUCUCUAAUUAUUUUGGACUUAUAAAGACUUAUUUGAUCUAACUUUCUUCCUUUUUUACAGUUCGCCUUAGGCCAUUAAAAAAAUUUCUAAACAAAUUUCAAGAGAUCCGAGAGACUCUUUUUCAAGGUUCUAAUUUUGAGUGGGAGCAAAUCACUUGAAGAAGAGUUGAAAGCGCGAUGUGUAGAACAAGGAGGAACUUCCCAAGUUUCACCAAAACACUUGGUGAGUCAUCGACAGCAGAUGGUACGAAUGUCGUCGAUUCUAGUCUUCUGGCUUCCACCAUAGUGCCAGCUCGAAGUCCAACCUCAGAAAUUGAAACUAUCGUUCCCAAGCACCAAAAUGAAAUUGAGAUUGAAAGAGAUAGAGACUAUAUGACUACUAUCGGGUAGAUUCGCAAUGUUAACCCGACAACGGAACAGGUCGGAACCGAUUUGAUCGAGGGAAAAGAAGAAAGAAAAGAGGACACGCUUAUCAACCAAGGUCGGAAAUCAGUCUGGUCGUAAGAGAGAAGUGCCCCUUGCGAUGGUGCGGGAGGCAGCGGGCCACCUAUGUCGGAACGUGAAGAGCUCCUCAUCGAUUCUUCUCAAACCAAAAAACAUAUAUUUCGAGGAGAAGUACCUGAAUUUUGCUCGGUUUUCAGUUCAGUCUAUCGCCUAUGACAAUGCCCUAUUUCUGAAGUAUAAUAGGCGGCUGAAAUCUCAUUCGACCUCUGAGCACACCUUCCACUUGAUGAAGGAAUGUUUUGAGCGAGCUCGGGCUAUGGAAGCAUCACUACGAGGUACAGUUUAUGAGCUCGUGGGUGCUGCCAAGGAGACAAAAGGAGUCAUGGCCUCCCUUGAACAAAUUGUGUCCAACCUAUCAUCCAGUGAAUCAGGCCUCCAGGAGGAAAAGGUGAAACUGCAGGAGAAUCACGACUUUGGUUCUUUGCAAUCGGGAGCUCCUACUCUGGCUUCCAUCCGAGAACCUCAAGGAUCUUAUGCGGAGGCUUUUCAAACUGACCUGACGAUCAGGACGACAGGCGUUGAUGCUAACCUUCGUAAAGCCUGAAUGUAGACUGCUUCCUCGAUUUCUUCUUUUCUUUUCUGUUCUUAUUCUUUAAGAAUUUGAUUCAUCCGGGCCGUAGGCAUUUGUAAUAACAAUUUGAUUUUGUAAAUUUGUUUCACUUUAUCCGAAUUCUCGAAAGUUAAU